rnacentral:rRNA from 2 species
GGGUUGUGAGGUUAAGCGACUAAGCGUACACGGUGGAUGCCCUGGCAGUCAGAGGCGAUGAAGGACGUGCUAAUCUGCGAAAAGCGCCGGCGAGGUGAUAUGAACCUUUGACCCGGCGAUGUCCGAAUGGGGAAACCCAGUGCAAUCCGUUGCACUAUCGUUAACUGAAUACAUAGGUUAACGAGGCGAACCGGGGGAACUGAAACAUCUAAGUACCCCGAGGAAAAGAAAUCAACCGAGAUUCCCCCAGUAGCGGCGAGCGAACGGGGAGCAGCCCGGAGUCUGAAUCAGCUUGUGUGUUAGUGGAACGGUCUGGAAAGUCCGACGGUACAGGGUGAUAGUCCCGUACACGAAAGCACACAUGCUGUGAACUCGAAGAGUAGGGCGGGACACGUGGUAUCCUGUCUGAAUAUGGGGGGACCAUCCUCCAAGGCUAAAUACUCCUGACUGACCGAUAGUGAACCAGUACCGUGAGGGAAAGGCGAAAAGAACCCCGGCGAGGGGAGUGAAAAAGAACCUGAAACCGUGUACGUACAAGCAGUGGGAGCCUCUUUAUGGGGUGACUGCGUACCUUUUGUAUAAUGGGUCAGCGACUUAUAUUCUGUAGCAAGGUUAACCGUAUAGGGGAGCCGAAGGGAAACCGAGUCUUAACUGGGCGUUAAGUUGCAGGGUAUAGACCCGAAACCCGGUGAUCUAGCCAUGGGCAGGUUGAAGGUUGGGUAACACUAACUGGAGGACCGAACCGACUAAUGUUGAAAAAUUAGCGGAUGACCUGUGGCUGGGGGUGAAAGGCCAAUCAAACCGGGAGAUAGCUGGUUCUCCCCGAAAGCUAUUUAGGUAGCGCCUCGUGAACUCAUCUUCGGGGGUAGAGCACUGUUUCGGCUAGGGGGCCAUCCCGGCUUACCAACCCGAUGCAAACUACGAAUACCGAAGAAUGUUAUCACGGGAGACACACGGCGGGUGCUAACGUCCGUCGUGAAGAGGGAAACAACCCAGACCGCCAGCUAAGGUCCCAAAGUCAUGGUUAAGUGGGAAACGAUGUGGGAAGGCACAGACAGCCAGGAUGUUGGCUUAGAAGCAGCCAUCAUUUAAAGAAAGCGUAAUAGCUCACUGGUCGAGUCGGCCUGCGCGGAAGAUGUAACGGGGCUAAACCAUGCACCGAAGCUGCGGCAGCGACACUAUGUGUUGUUGGGUAGGGGAGCGUUCUGUAAGCCGUUGAAGGUGUGCUGUGAGGCAUGCUGGAGGUAUCAGAAGUGCGAAUGCUGACAUAAGUAACGAUAAAGCGGGUGAAAAGCCCGCUCGCCGGAAGACCAAGGGUUCCUGUCCAACGUUAAUCGGGGCAGGGUGAGUCGACCCCUAAGGCGAGGCCGAAAGGCGUAGUCGAUGGGAAACAGGUUAAUAUUCCUGUACUUGGUGUUACUGCGAAGGGGGGACGGAGAAGGCUAUGUCAGCCGGGCGACGGUUGUCCCGGUUUAAGCAUGUAGGCGGAGGUUCCAGGUAAAUCCGGUACCUUGUUAACGCUGAGGUGUGAUGACGAGGCACUACGGUGCUGAAGUGAUAAAUGCCCUGCUUCCAGGAAAAGCCUCUAAGCAUCAGGUAACACGAAAUCGUACCCCAAACCGACACAGGUGGUCAGGUAGAGAAUACCAAGGCGCUUGAGAGAACUCGGGUGAAGGAACUAGGCAAAAUGGUGCCGUAACUUCGGGAGAAGGCACGCUGAUAUGUAGGUGAAGCCCCUGCGGGCGGAGCUGAAAUCAGUCGAAGAUACCAGCUGGCUGCAACUGUUUAUUAAAAACACAGCACUGUGCAAACACGAAAGUGGACGUAUACGGUGUGACGCCUGCCCGGUGCCGGAAGGUUAAUUGAUGGGGUUAGCGGCAACGCGAAGCUCUUGAUCGAAGCCCCGGUAAACGGCGGCCGUAACUAUAACGGUCCUAAGGUAGCGAAAUUCCUUGUCGGGUAAGUUCCGACCUGCACGAAUGGCGUAAUGAUGGCCAGGCUGUCUCCACCCGAGACUCAGUGAAAUUGAACUCGCUGUGAAGAUGCAGUGUACCCGCGGCAAGACGGAAAGACCCCGUGAACCUUUACUAUAGCUUGACACUGAACACUGGUCCUUGAUGUGUAGGAUAGGUGGGAGGCUUUGAAGCGUGGACGCCAGUCUGCGUGGAGCCAACCUUGAAAUACCACCCUUUAAUGGCUGGUGUUCUAACGUAGACCCGUAAUCCGGGUUGCGGACAGUGUCUGGUGGGUAGUUUGACUGGGGCGGUCUCCUCCCAAAGAGUAACGGAGGAGCACGAAGGUUGGCUAAUCCUGGUCGGACAUCAGGAGGUUAGUGCAAUGGCAUAAGCCAGCUUGACUGCGAGCGUGACGGCGCGAGCAGGUGCGAAAGCAGGUCAUAGUGAUCCGGUGGUUCUGAAUGGAAGGGCCAUCGCUCAACGGAUAAAAGGUACUCCGGGGAUAACAGGCUGAUACCGCCCAAGAGUUCAUAUCGACGGCGGUGUUUGGCACCUCGAUGUCGGCUCAUCACAUCCUGGGGCUGAAGUAGGUCCCAAGGGUAUGGCUGUUCGCCAUUUAAAGUGGUACGCGAGCUGGGUUUAGAACGUCGUGAGACAGUUCGGUCCCUAUCUGCCGUGGGCGCUGGAGAAUUGAGGGGGGCUGCUCCUAGUACGAGAGGACCGGAGUGGACGCAUCACUGGUGUUCGGGUUGUCAUGCCAAUGGCACUGCCCGGUAGCUAAAUGCGGAAGAGAUAAGUGCUGAAAGCAUCUAAGCACGAAACUUGCCCCGAGAUGAGUUCUCCCUGAGACCUUGAGUCUCCUGAAGGAACGUUGAAGACUACGACGUUGAUAGGUCGGGUGUGUAAGCGCAGCGAUGCGUUGAGCUAACCGAUACUAAUGAACCGUGAGGCUUAACCUUACAACGCCGAAGCUGUU